CCUACGGGUGGCAGCAGUGGGGAAUAUUGCACAAUGGGGGAAACCCUGAUGCAGCGACGCCGCGUGAGUGAAGAAGUAAUUCGUUAUGUAAAGCUCUAUCAGCAGGGAAGAAAAUGACGGUACCUGAGUAAGAAGCCCCGGCUAACUACGUGCCAGCAGCCGCGGUAAUACGUAGGGGGCAAGCGUUAUCCGGAUUUACUGGGGGGAAAGGGAGCGUAGACGGCAGUGCAAGGAUGGAGUGAAAGGCGAGGGCUCAACCCCCGGACUGCUCUGGAAACUGUACGGCUGGAGUGCAGGAGAGGUAAGGGGAAUUCCUAGUGUAGCGGUGAAAUGCGUAGAUAUUAGGAGGAACACCAGUGGCGAAGGCGGCUUACUGGACUGUAACUGACGUUGAGGCUCGAAAGCGUGGGGAGCAAACAGGAUUAGAUACCCGUGUAGUC
rnacentral:rRNA from 1 species